UGCCUUUGUUCUUACAUACAAUGAAAUGAAGAAUGAAAGAAAAAAAAUCUAUAUUAGUUAAAGAUAAUUAAUUUUUUUAUUACUUCAUAGUUUAUAUGUUUUAUUUUUUCUGUUUUAAAAAAUAGUUAAAAUCAUUUAAGUAAUACAAGUUCCAAGUCUCACUAUCCCUACAAGAUCCCCUUGUAUCAAUCUAAACAAAUUAUUAGGAGGAAUUAAAAGUUUAACCAUUUCAACUCUUUAAAAGAAAU
rnacentral:lncRNA from 1 species